CAAUAAGCGGAGGAAAAGAAACUAACAAGGAUUCCCCUAGUAACUGCGAGUGAAGCGGGAAAAGCUCAAAUUUAAAAUCUGUCAGUCUUUGGCUGUCCGAGUUGUAAUCUAGAGAAGUGUUAUCCGCGCUGGACCGUGUACAAGUCUCCUGGAAUGGAGCGUCAUAGAGGGUGAGAAUCCCGUCUUUGACACGGACUGCCAGGGCUUUGUGAUGCGCUCUCAAAGAGUCGAGUUGUUUGGGAAUGCAGCUCAAAAUGGGUGGUAAAUUCCAUCUAAAGCUAAAUAUUGGCGAGAGACCGAUAGCGAACAAGUACCGUGAGGGAAAGAUGAAAAGAACUUUGGAAAGAGAGUUAAACAGUACGUGAAAUUGCUGAAAGGGAAACGCUUGAAGUCAGUCGCGUUGUCCAGGGAUCAACCUUGCUUUUGCUUGGUGUACUUUCUGGUUGACGGGUCAGCAUCAAUUUUGACUAUUGGAAAAAGAUCAGGGGAAUGUGGCAUCUUUGGAUGUGUUAUAGCCCUUGGUUGCAUACAAUGGUUGGGAUUGAGGAACUCAGCACGCCGCAAGGCCGGGUUUUUAACCACGUACGUGCUUAGGAUGCUGGCAUAAUGGCUUUAAUCGACCCGUCUUGAAACACGGACCAAGGAGUCUAACAUGCCUGCGAGUGUUUGGGUGGAAAACCCGAGCGCGUAAUGAAAGUGAAAGUUGAGAUCCUUGUCAUGGGGAGCAUCGACGCCCGGACCAGACCUUUUGUGACGGUUCCGCGGUAGAGCAUGUAUGUUGGGACCCGAAAGAUGGUGAACUAUGCCUGAAUAGGGUGAAGCCAGAGGAAACUCUGGUGGAGGCUCGUAGCGAUUCUGACGUGCAAAUCGAUCGUCAAAUUUGGGUAUAGGGGCGAAAGACUAAUCGAACCAUCUAGUAGCUGGUCU
rnacentral:rRNA from 1 species